UGCACAGUACUCACUCCAGUUCCACAAGGCAAUUGAGGUUUAUCACCAGAAUUAAAUGACAGUCUCUUUGUUCUUGAGCCUCGGACGUUCGUUCUGCUGUAAUCAGUCAUCAGAUUGUGGAUCACUAGACAUUCAGCCAAUUGAACCAUUCAAUCAUUACACAGAAGAAUGCCAUUGGCCACUGUGCCUCGGUGGGUGCUUUGGAAAUCUACUCCUGGGAAGCUGGUGGUUGAUUAGCACCAAUGAACAACACUGAGAGAGAUCAGAGGUCAAAAUGCCCAAUUACUGACCAGAUAAAGAAGAAACACAUUAUGUGGGGUACAUUGUGAAAAGUUGGUUAGUUGAAGCAAUAGCUUCUC